AUUGAACGCUGGCGGCAGGCCUAACACAUGCAAGUCGAACGGUAACAGAAAGCAGCUUGCUGCUUUGCUGACGAGUGGCGGACGGGUGAGUAAUGUCUGGGAAACUGCCUGAUGGAGGGGGAUAACUACUGGAAACGGUAGCUAAUACCGCAUAACGUCGCAAGACCAAAGAGGGGGACCUUCGGGCCUCUUGCCAUCGGAUGUGCCCAGAUGGGAUUAGCUAGUAGGUGGGGUAAAGGCUCACCUAGGCGACGAUCCCUAGCUGGUCUGAGAGGAUGACCAGCCACACUGGAACUGAGACACGGUCCCGACUCCUACGGGAGGCAGCAGUGGGGAAUAUUGCACGAUGGGCGCAAGCCUGAUGCAGCCAUGCCGCGUGUAUGAAGAAGGCCUUCGGGUUGUAAAGUACUUUCAGCGGGGAGGAAGGGAGUAAAGUUAAUACCUUUGCUCAUUGACGUUACCCGCAGAAGAAGCACCGGCUAACUCCGUG
rnacentral:rRNA from 1 species